GAUGAACGCUGGCGGCGUGCUUAACACAUGCAAGUCGAACGAUGAAGCCCAGCUUGCUGGGUGGAUUAGUGGCGAACGGGUGAGUAACACGUGAGUAACCUGCCCUUAACUCUGGGAUAAGCCUGGGAAACUGGGUCUAAUACCGGAUAGGAGCGUCCACCGCAUGGUGGGUGUUGGAAAGAUUUAUCGGUUUUGGAUGGACUCGCGGCCUAUCAGCUUGUUGGUGAGGUAAUGGCUCACCAAGGCGACGACGGGUAGCCGGCCUGAGAGGGUGACCGGCCACACUGGGACUGAGACACGGCCCAGACUCCUACGGGAGGCAGCAGUGGGGAAUAUUGCACAAUGGGCGCAAGCCUGAUGCAGCGACGCCGCGUGAGGGAUGACGGCCUUCGGGUUGUAAACCUCUUUCAGUAGGGAAGAAGCGAAAGUGACGGUACCUGCAGAAGCACCGGCUAACUACGUG
rnacentral:rRNA from 1 species